GGGCCUGGGUGGCGGAACUGGUAGACGCAAGGGACUUAAAAUCCCUCGGAGCUUGCCUCUGUGUGGGUUCAAUUCCCACGUAAGCCUU
rnacentral:tRNA from 1 species